UACGGGGGGGGCAAGCGUUGUUCGGAAUUACUGGGCGUAAAGGGCUCGUAGGUGGCCAACUAAGUCGGACGUGAAAUCCCUCAGCUUAACUGGGGAACUGCGUCCGAUACUGGAUGGCUUGAGUUUGGGAGAGGGAUGCGGAAUUCCAGGUGUAGCGGUGAAAUGCGCAGAUAUCAGGAGGAACACCGGUGGCGAAGGCGGAUCUCUGGGCCGAUACUGACGCUGAGGAGCGAAAGCGUGGGGAGCGAACAGG
rnacentral:rRNA from 1 species